CUAUAAUGAAUAAUUAAAGAUGACUUAGAACUCUUUUGUUAUUUUUCCUAGUGUACUGAAAUA
rnacentral:sRNA from 1 species